GUUUGUUUCUUUUCCAAAUUCUCUACACCUCUGUGCACUUUACAUAGAAAGGAUGGCGAGUUUUUAUUAUUGGGGCGAGUCUCUGUGUGAACGGUUUCAUUUGAACUCUCAACCGGUUCUUUUUGAAGCCAAGUAGCUAAAUUCUCAACCGAUAUAAGUUCUCUCUCUCUUUUUCUGUGGUUCAUAACAUCUAUACCAGUCAGUUUAGAAUGUAAAAUCAUCGCGUUUAACGCAAACUACAUACAACUUUCAGCAACGGAUCUCUUGGCUCUCGCAUCGAUGAAGAACGCAGCGAAAUGCGAUAAGUAAUGUGAAUUGCAGAAUUCAGUGAAUCAUCGAAUCUUUGAACGCACCUUGCACUCCUUGGUAUUCCGAGGAGUAUGCCUGUUUGAGUGUCAUGGUAUUCUCAAUCCCUAACAACUUUUGUCGGUUGUUCGGAAUUGGACUUGGAGGCUUAAUUGCCGGUGCUUCGGCGGCUGGCUCCUCUUAAAUGCAUUAGUGUGAAUCAAGUUACACGUCAAUCAGUGUGAUAAUUAUCUGCGCUGUUUUCAACGUUGACUUUUAUAUUGUUGUUCAUGCUUAUAACCCGUCUGUUGACUCAAACACCGUAUACUAUAUAUAACAUAUCCCAUUGUG
rnacentral:rRNA from 1 species